AUACUUACCUGGCAGGGGAGACACCAUGAUCAUGAAGGUGGUUCUCCCAGGGCGAGGCACGGCUAUUGCACACUCUAGGCCGUGCUGAUCGUGGUUGUCUUCCCUGUCGCUUCUCGGCCUUUUGGCUGGGAUUGGGUGUGGUAUCUGUCCUUAUCAGUU